CUGAAACUUCACCUUAGUAUCUCCUUUUCAGAAAUAGUGAAAAAUAGAAUCUCUUCUUACAGCAGUGCCUGACCUGAGCCUGUGUUUUGCUCCUCUGAUUUGACACAGUGGCAGGCGCUGGUGAUGAGACAUGGCAGACUUCUUCCAUCUGUGCCAAUUCAGCCUAAAUUUCUUGAGUUCUCUUCUGAAGGAGGCCUUGUGUGGUGAGAACUGUGAAUGUGGAGUGCUUAGAGAUGUAUCAGAUGCCUGUGAUGAUGUGCUGACACAGAUAAUCAUUGGACUUGGUGUGGUGGACUGA
rnacentral:lncRNA from 1 species